AUGAUGCUGCGGGUCUGGGCCACAAGGGCUAUUCCUCUUAGAGCCGCCAAUGUCAACGACACCGUUAAUGAUGCUGCGGGUCUGGGCCACCAGGGCUCUUCCUCUUGGAGCCGCCAAUGUCAACGACACCGUCGUCGUCCGCCUGGACCACCUCCUCCCGCAGAAGCUUCCUCACAAAACGCCUUGUCGCCAUUGCUGUUGCCGCCACCGUGGCCUUUCUCCCAUGAUCCAAUUGUCCAAAAGUUGCCUCAGCCACCACGAAGGUGGACGAGAGAAGCAGGAGCGCACACACCACCAGCACCACACGGCAGACGACGCAAGCCUUGGCCAUGGCCAUGGCCAUGCAAAGUUUAG
rnacentral:rRNA from 1 species